UCAGACUGCUUUUAAAGGUUUCGAGACUGGAACAUCAAAAGUUCAUCCUUGUCGAGAUGGUGUUAAUGAUGUUAGAAAAGAUAAUUCUGCGUCUCAAAUUCCUCAUGGUGAGAAAAUUGGAAUUGAUCAUCGUGCUAAACGUGCAAGACCUAUGCCAAAAGACAGUGGGGUACAUUCUCAAUUAGAAAGUUCUGAAACUGCUGAAGGCAGAUCUACUGUGGCAGAGAAAUCCACUUACGCUGAUCUCCAAAUGCAUCCUCUUCUGUUCCAGGUCACUGAAGUGGGUAACACACAUUAUUAUCCAUUUAAAUUUAAUUCUGAUCCUUCUAGUUCCUUCAGCUUCUUCUCAGGUAGACAGCCGCAAUUAAAUCUGAGUCUGUUCAGUAGUUCACAGCAACAAGGGCACGUUGAUAGUGCUAACAAGUCAUUGCAGUCAAAGAAUUCCUCAUUAAGGUUAGGAGGCAUUGAUUUUCACCCACUUCUGCAGAAAUCUAAUGAUACACAGGCGCCAACUAGUUCGGAUGCUAUUCAGGCCGAGCCACUUGUCAAUAGUGGUGUGCCUGAUACAACUAAUAUAUCUUCUGGUCUUUAUGACAAAUCCAAUGAACUUGACUUGGAGAUUCAUCUAAGUUCUGUAUCAGAAAGUGAGAAAUCUAUGAAAAGUAGACAGCUAAAGGAACACGUUCCUAUAGAGUCUCAGCAAAUCAUAGCUAGUAGUGCAACAGAAAUGAAUGCUCCAUAUUGUCAGCAGGGUGGUAGAAUUCCUUCACCGAGCGGCUGUAUACUUGCUUCAAGUGCCCCUUUAGUCGUUCCUGAUGAUAACAUUACCAGAUAUGAUGAUGUUGGUAACCAGUCUCAUCCUGAGAUAGUGAUGGAGCAAGAAGAGUUAAGUGAUUCCGAGGAAGAUAUUGAAGAACAUGUUGAGUUUGAGUGUGAGGAGAUGGCUGAUUCUGAGGGAGAGGAUGGUUCAGGAUGUGAACAAGCUUCUGAGGUUCAAAAUAAGGUAGGUUCUUUAUUUUUUUUGCAGUUAGUUUUAGAUUUUAAUCGUGCGUGUCUUUGUGUGUGCUAUAUAUGUUACAAAUUUCAAUAUUGAGGAGAAAUACAUUCUCACAAAUUUCAAUAAUGUGGAGAAAUAACAAAUCUUCUGUUAUACAAUACAGUUUUUUUUUUUUUUUUUUUAACUUCAAUCUUCUCUUAUUUAGUUUUUAUGCUGAACCAUGAACUUUUAAUUUUCAUUCGGUUUUCAGCAUAUACUUUACUAUGUGGUCCUCUCUGCUUACCAGAAAAACUUUACUUUCUUGUCUUGAGUUUAAUUAUUUAACAUGAAAAUUCGCAAGUACGCAUUUUGUUUGAGCCUUGCAAUGAGAUGGCAUACAUCUAUAUUGAGACUGCCCUGUCCAUGUCUUUCCAAGUUUGACUCUGUUAUUUGUUUGUCCUGUACGCAUGCUACAUUGGAUGGUAAUUAAUAUAUCAGUUUGUCAAUGCCAGCAUGAUAAUUCUUUACUUUAGCUGACAAAUUUGAAUUCAUGUUAUUCUUGUGAGGUUCUCAGCUCUUCCAUGCCAUGUUUAAACUCAAAAGGCCCACAUAUAAUUCAUUUGUUACACAUGUAAAUCCAGCUUCCUUUAUGCAAAGUUGGAAAUUUUCUAAUUUCAACUUUUGCUCCAUGCUUUAAUUCAUAUGUUUUUCAUCAAUCUAUUAACUAUUUGUUUCUGUUGCUUCUGAUUCAUGACCAUCUGCUGCCAACCUUAUUCUGUUGAAUAACCUUUAUGCUGGGUGAUGGUUGUCCAUUUUUCUUUGCUUUAUAGUCGUGUACCAUUCAGCACCUCAUUCUUCUUUGGUGCUGGUUCGUAUUCUUAGUUUUAAAAAAUUUUUUUCCUUCCCUUAUAACCUUGAUUUUAAUUUUGUUUUAGUUUGAGUGUGAGGAGAUGUCUGAUUCUGAGGAAGAGGAUGGUUCAGGCUGCGAACAAGCUCCCGAGGUUCCAAAUGAGGUAGUUGCCUUAUCUUUUUCACUAAGUUUAGUUUUAAUCGUUUGUGUCUGUGUGUGUAUAUUACAAACUUAAUAUUGAGGGAAACAUUUUACAAAUUUCAAUAAUCGUAAGAGAUAGUAUAUUUUUUCUCUUAUAUAGAUAUAGAUUUUUUUAUGUUUUCCUCAAAAUAAAUCUUCCAAAUGCAAAACUGAAUAUUUUUGUAAACCAAAUUUUAUGUUGAGCCACCGAUUAUUAAUUUUCAAUGUAGGUUUUCAUCAGAUGUUUAAUGAUGUGUUGCGUUUCUUACUCCUUACUAUGACUUCUUUGUAAUGAUUUUUGUGUUAGGAUAUAAGAAAAUAUCUUGACGUUAUGUCAGUAUAGAUGUUUGCUAAAUGGUGGAGCUCAGUUUUUUGUUUUCUAUUUAUUUUUUAUUUGCUAGACAAUGCAUUAUUUUCUUGUAACAAGCUUAGUAAACCUUAGCUUGAGGGAGAGUAUUAGAAUAACAACAACAACAACCAAGCAUUAUCCCACUAAGUAGGGUCGGCUACAUGGAUCAAACGACGCCAUAAUAUUCUAUCAUAUAUCAUAUUUCUAUCCAACUCAUUAAUCUUUAGAUCUUUCUUAAUAGUUUCUCUUCAUAGUUUUUUUAGGUCUAUAAGAAAAUAAAAUAUCUUUUAAUAUAUUGAUAUUAUGUCAAAAUAUCUUAGUUUGUCUCUUAGGAUUAGUUUCUUAUCUCAAAGUUUCUUAGAUUAUCUUUUAGGACUGGUUUCCAUAUCUUAGUUUUAUCAUGAUUUAUUUAUUAAUUAGGACGAGGAGACUUGUAUCCCUAUAUAUUAAGGAUAAUAUUUAGUCUUUUGUAUAAAGUUAGUAUCCAGUUAUUACUUUUCAUCUAAAACCCAUAACUUCAACAAGUUUAAUUAUUUAACAUAAAAAUUACACUUUUUUUAGCCCUGCAAUAAGAGGGCAUAUAUGAUAUUAUCUAUUUUGAGACCGCCAUUUACACAUCUUUCCACGUUUGACUGUGUUAUUUGUUUGUCCCUUGUGAGCUGUGACUCCUUAAUUGGGUGGUAAUUAGUAUAUAAGUCAGUCAGUGGCAACAACAUAAUAAUUCUUUACUUGAGCAGGACAUUUGAAAAUAAUGUUAUCCUUGUUAGGUUCUCAGCUUUAAAUUCUGAUCCAUGCUUAGACUAGAAAUGCCCAGAUAAUUAAGUUUUUGCACUUACACAUGUAAUUACACCUUCCUUAGAAAAAUCUUUCUAGUUUCGACUUUUGCCUCAUGCUUUAAUAGAUAUCUUAUUCUGUUGACUAAACUUUAUGCUAGGUGGUGGUUGGUUAUUUCUCUCUGUAUAAUCUUGAACCAUUUAACUCCCACAUUGGAGGUCCUUUAAGUUAUUUAAUUGUAAUAAAUUGGUUCUUUAAAUUUUUUUCGUACCACUUAGGUCGUUAAUUAAUUGUAACAAACUAGUCUUUAAAUAUUUUUCUUAACACUUAGGUUUUAAGUUAUUUAAUUGAAACUUUUAGGCUCCAACUAACUUACAUUUUUAAGAUCUGAAAUCCCCUAAAUUGUUACGGUUAAAUAACUUAAAGGACCUAAUUGGUACGGAAAAAACUUAAAGGGCCAACUUAUUACAAUUAAUUAUCUUAAAGGACCUAAGUGGUACGGAAAAAACUUAAAGACCAAUUUGUUACAAUUAACUAACUUAAAGGAUUUCUGGUAUAAUUUAGCCUUUUCUUUUUAUGCUAGUUUAUACUCUUGAGCAGUUUUUCAAAAUAUAUUUCCUUCCAUUAUAACCUUCCUUUUAACUUUAUUUUGUUAGGAGGUCCCAAGAGCCAAUUCUGAUAUUCAACUUGAUUCUUGUCUCCCUACAACUGAUGCUAUGCCAAAUAUGACUUUGAUUAGUAAGGAAAUGGAUGACAAAAGUAAUUCGUCGUGGCUAAGUUUAGACUUUAUGUUUAGACUUAAGUUUAGACUCAAGUAGAUUCAAAAAUCUUGUACCAUCAAAGGCUAUGCUUCAGCAGGUAACAACUGGUGAAGAUUCUGCGUCCAAAAACUUCUCAAUUGGUAAAGCAGACAUGGGGGAGGGACAUUCCGAAGACAUUGUACAAUCGCCAAGCAUAGGUCCUCGUGUGUGUAGANAUAUAUAUGUGACAUGUUCACAUUUGCACUGGCUAGUUCAUCGAUCAUUGCAGUGGACAAUGAACCUAUGGCUUAGUCUGAGUGCAUAGGUCAUCUGGGCUUUUAUAUUUGUUUUUAAGGAUUGGAAUUAUCAGAUUUUGGAUUUACUGUUGUGAGCUUUCUUUGGAACUUAAUGCAGGAUUGUGAGGCCGAAAUUGCAGAUGGCAUGGAUCAUUCAGAUGUUCCUUAUGUCCACCAGGCAUUUCUGGCAGAUUGGAGACCAGACACGUCUACUCUUAAUCAUUCAGAACACAUUUCCUCGGCAUCUGCAGAAGUAAAUCUUGGCCAUGAUUCAAUUUCACAAGAUAGUCAGCUUUAUAGAGGAAUUAACAACUAUGGUUUAAGUGGAAAUGUUCAACAUCAGAAUGGUAAUCAGCCUGCAUUUCCAUCCAUAUACAAGCUUCCCCUGCCUUUUCACUCUACAUCUGAUUUUAGGAGUGGCAUGAAAGGUGCUCCCAGUGCAACUAUUCCUAAAAACCCAUUUUUGGGUACGACCUCUAGCUCCAAGUACUGUUCUCGGCCAUAUCGGUCUCGGAGGCCAAAUAGCGCUCACUUGGUAAAAUUAGCACCGGGCUUGCCUCCUGUAAAUCUUCCUCCAUCUGUUCGUGUAGUUUCUCAGACUGCUUUUAAAGGUUUCGAGACUGGAACAUCAAAAGUUCAUCCUUGUCGAGAUGGUGUUAAUGAUGUUAGAAAAGAUAAUUCUGCGUCUCAAAUUCCUCAUGGUGAGAAAAUUGGAAUUGAUCAUCGUGCUAAACGUGCAAGACCUAUGCCAAAAGACAGUGGGGUACAUUCUCAAUUAGAAAGUUCUGAAACUGCUGAAGGCAGAUCUACUGUGGCAGAGAAAUCCACUUACGCUGAUCUCCAAAUGCAUCCUCUUCUGUUCCAGGUCACUGAAGUGGGUAACACACAUUAUUAUCCAUUUAAAUUUAAAUCUGAUCCUUCUAGUUCCU
rnacentral:lncRNA from 1 species